AUUGAACGCUGGCGGCAUGCCUUACACAUGCCAGUCGAACGGCAGCACGGGUGCUUGCGCCUGGUGGCGAGUGGCGGACGGGUGAGUAAUACAUCGGAACAUGUCCUGUAGUGGGGGAGAGCCCGGCGAAAGCCGGAUUAAUACCGCAUACGAUCUACGGAUGAAAGCGGGGGCCCUUCGGGGCUCGCGCUAUAGGGUUGGCCGAUGGCUGAUUAGCUAGUUGGUGGGGUAAAGGCCUACCAAGGCGACGAUCAGUAGCUGGUCUGAGAGGACGACCAGCCACACUGGGACUGAGACACGGCCCAGACUCCUACGGGAGGCAGCAGUGGGGAAUUUUGGACAAUGGGCGAAAGCCUGAUCCAGCAAUGCCGCGUGUGUGAAGAAGGCCUUCGGGUUGUAAAGCACUUUUGUCCGGAAAGAAAUCCUUGGCCCUAAUACGGUCGGGGGAUGACGGUACCGGAAGAAUAAGCACCGGCUAACUACGUG
rnacentral:rRNA from 1 species